GCUGUUGGGGUCCAGCCCGGCGUCCCCCAGGCCACACAGGCUGUGGGUGAGCAGGGCCGGCCUCACCAGAGCUCUGGUACCUUUCAAAGCUUGGAAGAAAGAGAGAGUUCCCGGUUUACGGCAUGGAUGUAAAAAGCCACAGAUGACAAGACAUCAGUGGGAGUGUCAUUUGUUCCACCAGGACAAAAGGAAUACAUUUCUAAUGUGUGCAAGGAAGCAAAAAACAGAGAGCCCAGAGGUGUCUGAAAUGAGGAUGUAUUUGGAUUUAGCCAGAGAAGAAUGGUGGAACUGCCUUCUGCUGAUGGUCUGUGGCAUUGUGUCAAUACUUUGGAUGCCCCAAAAGAGAGAAUAAGUGUGAGCAGCAUUUUCUUAUGGUCUCUGUCCAUUGUUCCCGGAGAAAUUUACAGUCAGUGGAAGAACCACAGAAACCAUAAAAGCAGACACAUCUUUUGCCUUUUUUUUUUUUUUUUUUUUUAAUACUGGAGUAAUUAAAACAUUCACCUGCUACAAGC